AUUUUAGUAUAAGGAUGUUCCAUGAAAUAUUUGAGGCAUGUUUAUACUAAAA
rnacentral:miRNA from 1 species